GUCUUACUUUGAAAGAGAAAUUUCUAAGACAAAAUAACAUAUUUGCCUAAACGUUUGAUCUGGUUUGGAUAAUGAUCAUGGCAGAAUAAUUAUAGGUCGCAGAAGGAACAAUCAUUGCAGAUUUGUCGGGGCUUCAAAAAUUAUUGGUGUUGAUUUGAAUGCUACCAGAUGUAAGCUUGG